GAGUUUGAUCAUGGCUCAGAUUGAACGCUGGCGGCAGGCUUAACACAUGCAAGUCGAACGGUAACAGGAGAAAGCUUGCUUUCUUGCUGACGAGUGGCGGACGGGUGAGUAAUGCUUGGGAAUCUAGCUUAUGGAGGGGGAUAACGACGGGAAACUGUCGCUAAUACCGCGUAGUAUCGAGAGAUGAAAGUGCGGGACCGCAAGGCCGCAUGCCAUAGGAUGAGCCCAAGUGGGAUUAGGUAGUUGGUGGGGUAAAGGCCUACCAAGCCGACGAUCUCUAGCUGGUCUGAGAGGAUGACCAGCCACACCGGGACUGAGACACGGCCCGGACUCCUACGGGAGGCAGCAGUGGGGAAUAUUGCGCAAUGGGGGCAACCCUGACGCAGCCAUGCCGCGUGAAUGAAGAAGGCCUUCGGGUUGUAAAGUUCUUUCGGUGACGAGGAAGGCGUGAUGUUUAAUAGGCAUCACGAUCGACGUAAUCACA
rnacentral:rRNA from 1 species